AGAACGAACGCUGGCGGCAUGCCUAAUACAUGCAAGUCGAACGAAGGCUUCGGCCUUAGUGGCGCACGGGUGCGUAACGCGUGGGAAUCUGCCCCUUGGUUCGGAUAACAGUUGGAAACGACUGCUAAUACCGGAUGAUGACGAAAGUCCAAAGAUUUAUCGCCAAGGGAUGAGCCCGCGUAGGAUUAGCUAGUUGGUGAGGUAAAGGCUCACCAAGGCGACGAUCCUUAGCUGGUCUGAGAGGAUGAUCAGCCACACUGGGACUGAGACACCGGCCCAGACUCCGUACGGGAGGCAGCAGGUAGGGAAUAUUGGGACAAAGUGGGGACGAAAGCCCUAGAUCCGAAGCAAUCGGCCGCGUGAGUGAUAGAAGGUCCUUAGGGUUAUUAAAUUCUUUCGAGUAGGGACGAUAAUGACGUACUACAGAAGACGCCCGACUAACUCGU
rnacentral:rRNA from 1 species